GAUGAACGCUGGCGGCGUGCUUAACACAUGCAAGUCGAACGAGAAAUGUAGACGGAAACCUUCGGGCGGAAGCCUUCAUUUCGAGUGGCGGACGGGUGAGUAACGCGUGGGUAACCUGCCUCAUACAGGGGGAUAACAGUUGGAAACGACUGUUAAUACCGCAUAAGACCACAGCAUCGCAUGAUGCGGGGGUAAAAACUCCGGUGGUAUGAGAUGGACCCGCGUUCGAUUAGCCAGUUGGCGGGGUAACGGCCCACCAGAGCGACGAUCGAUAGCCGAUCUGAGAGGAUGACCGGCCACAUUGGGACUGAGACACGGCCCAAACUCCUACGGGAGGCAGCAGUGGGGAAUAUUGCACAAUGGGGGAAACCCUGAUGCAGCGACGCCGCGUGAGUGAAGAAGUACUUCGGUAUGUAAAGCUCUAUCAGCAGGGAAGAAAAUGACGGUACCUGAGUAAGAAGCCCCGGCUGACUACGUG
rnacentral:rRNA from 1 species